rnacentral:lncRNA from 7 species
AUAGAUGCUGCUCCAAGAGAGAUGGCAGUGCAAAUGUAUGUUGUGAACUUGUUCCAAGUCGUACAGAUGUGAACAUUUCUCCAUGAAACCAGAGCUGGAUGCUGAAAUGUCCUGGGCAGACUGUGCAGUAACAUAACCUGUAACAUACAUACUAGCCUCUCGGGGCAGACCACCAAGACUACCAGUACCUUCUUUUCAAAAGCAUCUAAGACUACUGUGCUUCAAAUGAACAAAGUAGAGAACCGGACCACCGCCCCAUCCCCCAAGAAAAGAUCACCCUGAAGCCUUGAUGUUACUGUCUCAUCGAGAAGAUGAACUUGAUCAUGAAAAGCCAUGCUUCCAUUUCUCAACUCUUCCUCUCCCUGGAUGGAGACCUCUGUCCCCUUUGCCUAUGUUGUAAUAGGAAGAUCUUGUUGGUAGCUCAGAGGACAUCAGCCAAGACCUGACCAUGAGGUGCCAUGUGCUUACAGUGUAAGGAUGACUUUGAAGCUGGUAAACGCUUACAAGACCUGCUCCAAAAGUAUUUCCUCCUGUCCUAUGAUGUUGGUCUACAACAUCAAAACAGAUGUUGGUGGUAUGGCAGUAGAGACUGAACCUCCCUGCCAAUAUCCCAUUACAUUUUGUCACCAUGUGUUGGAUUGCAGCAGAUGGUAAAUCUGACAUGGAAGUGCACAUGAAGAUGAAGGCUGGAAUUGAAUUUCCUCCUUG